rnacentral:tRNA from 1 species
AACUAAUGGUUAUUUUAGAAUUGAGUCUUGAUUUGUAAUCAAUAGGUCCGCGGUUCGACUCCGUGCGGGGGCACCA